UCAACACUUGCUGGUUUCCUCU
rnacentral:miRNA from 3 species